UACGAAGGGGGCAAGCGUUGUUCGGAAUUAUUGGGCGUAAAGGGCGCGUAGGCGGUUUUGCAAGUUUCGUGUGAAAACUUCGGGCUCAACCCGAAGCCUGCACGGAAAACUGCCGGGCUUGAGUAUGGGAGAGGUGAGUGGAAUUUCCGGUGUAGCGGUGAAAUGCGUAGAUAUCGGAAGGAACACCUGUGGCGAAGGCGGCUCACUGGACCAUAACUGACGCUGAGGCGCGAAAGCGUGGGGAGCAAACAGG
rnacentral:rRNA from 1 species